UAGGAGACAGGGCCUUCAGGAGGUAACCAAGGUUACAUGAAGUCAUAAGGGAGGGGCCCUAAUCCAACAGGACUGCUGUUCUUAUAAGAGGAAGAGACAUCAGAGAUCCAUCUCUCUCUCUCUCCCUCUCUCCCCCUCUCUCUCCCUCCCUCCCUCCCUCCCUCCUGCACAAAGGGGAAAGCCCAGGUGAGGACGCAGCCAAGAAGGCAGCCACCUACCAGACAAGGAGGGAGGACCCACCAGAAACCAACCCCGCUGGCACCUUGAUCUUGGACUUCCAGCCUCUAGAAAUGGUUGAAAACUUUCUGCCUGUGGAUAACAGAGAGGUAACAGAAGCAGACAGGAGUAUAAGACAAAAAUGGCAACCCACAUUCAACUCCCUCAUGAGGCUGAGCAAACUUCUGUGGAAUCCAGAAAGAAAGGGGUGUCUGUCAACAUGAAAACAUGAAGGGGAAUGCUAAAUUCCCAACUCAAGAUAAAAGUUACUUCUGGAAAGGUAGGUUAAUGGGAUUAGAAAACGUUCAAAGGAGGCCUUUCUAUUGUAAUGUUUUCUUUCUGUAUCGAUAAUGUUUUAGUACUGGGGGGAAAAAGGCUAAAGCAAAUAUGGGAAGUGUUAACAUUUGACAAAACUGGGUGGUGUAUCUAGGAGUAUCUUGUAUUUUUGCUGUACUAUGUUGGAAAUAGUCCUAAUUAAAGGGAGUAAAACAAAAGAAUAUCCUACACUCUUCUCAGCCCGUUUCUCCACAUAAAAACUCUGCUUCAGUAUUUGCAACUCAUCUGUUUAGCCUUCCAGAGACAAACUACAAAAUAUUCUAAAAUACUUAACAUUCUUCACCACCACCACUAACCCACAUUUUCUUCUUCUCCAGGCUCAAUAGCUCCCUUACAGUUCAUCCCCGUUCCAGGUCUUCACCACUCCAGCCGUUCCGUCCUAGAUGGCAACAUCCCUCAAAAUGAAGUGCCAAGAUCCUAAUCAACGCACUGUGUGAGGUUCCUCCAAUUUCUCCCUUUUGCCAGCAAAUGUUUAAUUCACAGAUCAUUUAGAUAAGAAUAAAUUCGUUCUUUUUCCCUCCAGCCA